rnacentral:lncRNA from 1 species
CUCUUCUGCACCUACUGCUCUCCUUGGGAUAGCCUAAGGACUUUGUGGAGGAACCAAGGAAGCUCUAGAGCAGAGGUUCUCAACCUGUGAGUCUCAACCCUUUUGGGGGUCAUAUAUCAGAGAUUUACAUUACAAUUCAUAGCAGUAGUAAAAUUAUACUUAUGAAGUAGCAAUGGAAUAAUUUUAUGGUCAGGGAUCACCACAGCAUGAGGAACUGUAUUAAAGGGUCACAGCAUUAGGAAGGCUGAGAAUCAUUUUUCUGACUCACAUGGAAUUCUCUAGUGAACACCUCUUUGUCUUCAUUUUUGCCUGGACUCUGCUAGCUCCAUGGGCUGUGAUCAAUCUCUUUAGAAGCAUCCACCUUGAUGACUCAUCAUCCUUCAGAAGUCCCUGAAAGAUGCAUCUGUAUUCUCAUGGGGAGACUGGCUUUGUAGAAUCCACUAGACACUUCUGGGCUGAGUCUUCUGAAUGGUUUUGCAGUAGCCAAGUCCAGGCUUCCUGCCCUGGGCCAGGCUAUGCUGAGACUGUAAAGCCAGCAAUCAUCCUGGCUCUCAGGAAAGACGGUGUGUCCUAGAAGUCUAAACUGGCCGCCACUGGUGAUGGUUAGUGUUAGUGUCUGGAUGUGUAGAAAACCAUAGAAAUGUUUACACACAAUCCUAAGCUUGGUGGCGGAAUGAAACUGAAGCAGCUCUGUUAACGUGAGGCUGCCUUUGUGUCCUAUGCAGUUUGGUUUUCAUAGGAUCUUGUCCUUGUAGAAUAAUUUUGGAGCACUUCUGUCUUAGGGUUUCCAUUGCUGUAAAGCCACCAUGACCAAAGCAGCUCUUAUAAGGACAACAUCUAAUUGGGCCUGGCUUACAUGUUCAGAGGUUCAGUCUAUUAUCAUCAAGGUAGGAACAUGGCAGCAUCCAGGUAGGCAUGGUGCAGGAGGAGCUAGGCAUUCAACAUCUUGUUCCAAGGCAAAUAGGAGAAGACUGGCUCCCAUGUGGCUAGGAGAAGGGUCUCAAAGCCCACCCUGACAGUGACACCCUUCCUUCAACAAAGCCACACCUACUCCAACAAGGCCACACCUCCUAAUAGUACCACUCCCUGGGCCAAACAUGUACAAACCACCACAUUUUCUAACCAGCAUGUCGUGAGAGGAGGCAUCUGUCCUGUCGAUAGUGGGAUUUUUAGAUUUUUUUUUUUUUGAAGCUGGGUUUCCUCCCAGCUGGUACUGACCCACUCCAAGGCUUCUGGUUUGCCCAUGCAUUUUUUUCAUUCCUCGGUUUCAAGAAACAAUCCAGAGGUCCCUCAGUAGACAAACACAGCUUUCAGUCAGCAUGCAAUGGAAUAUUACAGAUUAGUGAAAAGGCACAAGCUGUGGCAGAUUGACCAACAGAGGUGAGUGUCAAAUAUGCCAAGCAGGAGUUCACACUCUAGGUUCAUUUCUGUUUAGUCAAGCAAAGGUGAAAGCACUGUGCGUGACAGGCUUCAGGCAUGUGACCCUGGGGCCUGGGGUCAGCACCUCCCUACAGGAGGCUCCAGGGAACAUUAAGUAGGUGGUUACAGAUAUUUUCUUUCUUGGUGCAGGCAGCAUUGACACAACAGUGUACCUGAACUCCUAGGCAUACAAAUGCUGACUGCAUUUGCUUUGUUGUUUAUGGAGAUAGAGUCUCAUGUAUCCCAUGCUGGCCUCCAACUUGCUAUGUAGCUGAGGAUACCCCUGACUCUCACUCUUCCAGGUACUGGGAUAACAUAAUCACACCACACAGCAUUUUGUGUGGUGCUUGGUGUCAGAUCCAGGGCUCUGUGCAUGUUUGGCAAGCAUUCUACUAACCGAGCCACAUCCUAGUCUAAUCAUACUGAUUUUAGAAAUUAUUUACCUU